GCAGGUCUUUUACUGCCAUACUUACGUACUUCCAGCAUUUGUGUUGAUUCAUGGAUUUACACCACCGGGUGGACAAGUGCUGAAAUUGCAGUUUCAAGAAGGGUUUGGUGCAUUUUAACACAUGGUUCUCUUCAGCAACGAAGAUACUCAUCUUGUCUGCCACGAUACUCAACUCAAAUACUCAAUUGCUGACUGGUAGGUCCAGGAAAAUCAAGUCCACUAUUUAACCACAAUAGCAAAACCUUGUCAUGGUACCAUCUCUUCUUGUGCUUUCAAAUGACACUUCCCUGAUCUGACCAGCCAACUAGCUUCUUCAGACAGGGUCUCUUGUGUUACUGCUAUGAAAGACUCCCAUUGAAAUACAGUAGCUAUGAAAAAUCUGGCUAUUUUAUAUAGUUAAAUUACUAACUACUAACACUUAGCACCCUUUUAACACUUUAUUACUUGAAGCAUUUUAAAAGACAACACAUACUACUGCUAUUAAUUGCUAUGAUCUCUCACACUGCAGUUAACACUCAGUACUCUUCCUGAUUUUCCAGGAUUUCCAUUGCUGUAGCUACCUGACUUGAAUAGUAAUGCAGAGGGCGUGUAAGGAACAGCCCUCAAAGUCUGGCUGUGCUCUAACAGCACUAAGAACUGCUGCACAAAUCACAGCAUGAGACAGCUUUGAACACACAUCCAUUAUCAAAACCAGUUCUACCUAUACUGAAUACUGUCAUCUAAGAGCCUGUAUGAUUCAAAAUAUUGCUGCUUGCUUGUAUUUUAAAGCUUCACCCAGUAACAGUUUCACAAAUUGAAAACAGCUGUGAGAUGUUCACAGUCUACACCAACAAUUGCAGUAAAACAGUACUGAGGAAGGAGCAGCUGUUCUAUCUAGGACUUGUGGAGACUGAGAAAAUCAACACAUAACCUCUGCAGCUCAUCUGACAGGGAACAAAACCACGCACUGGUCACUACAUGCAGAUGGGAUGACACACAACUGGCAUUUACAAUAAAACUCAAGGCACUUUUGAGGGUUCUCCUCAAAUUCAGGAGGUGAAAAUUUUGUUGUGUCCAAUUUUAUUUGUACAAAAAUGCUUUAAACAUACAUGCUAAAAGGCAAACUGGUUCUUUGCCUUAAACCAGGUCAGUCCUUUUUCUGUAGAGCUGCCUGCUUGGCAUUGUUGGCUUGCAUCUUCUUCAGCCCCUUCUUGUUGUGUUUCUUGGCAAAUCUCAUGUUCCUCAGAAAUUUGGGAUCAACCCCUUUGAGAGACUCAUAUCUAUGGGAUCUGGGCUUCUUGAUGCCAUUUCUGUGCCACUUACGGGACUGAUUGUGCGUGGUGUGGUUCUUGGACUUGGCCAUGGCGGCACCGAACCCACAGCAGACAGCGCCGCACCGGAAGAGAAAGGCUACGCAAGGGCCCCUGGGAAAUGGGCUUAGGCCGCACCGGAAGUCUGUGCCGUAAGUCAGUUGGUCGGGUGCGCAACAAGCGCCGCUGGCAUGGCGGUUCCGCGCCGCGGCCGUUCCUCCCCGUCCUCUCCCUCGUCUGCCCGGCCCAGCGGCUGAGUUACUCCUGCUGCAAAACAGUUCAAAAAACAAACAAACAAACAAAAACAAAACAAAAAACAAACAAACAAAAAACCUCCAAUAAACUCAAGGUUUC
rnacentral:lncRNA from 1 species